rnacentral:rRNA from 1 species
UACGUAGGGGGCAAGCGUUGUCCGGAAUCAUUGGGCGUAAAGCGCGUGUAGGCGGUCCGGUAAGUCCGCUGUGAAAGUCGGGGGCUCAACCCUCGGAUGCCGGUGGAUACUGUCGGGCUUGAGUACGGAAGAGGCGAGUGGAAUUCCUGGUGUAGCGGUGAAAUGCGUAGAGAUCGGGAGGAACACCGGUGGCGAAGGCGGCACGCUGGGCCGGCCCUGACGCUGAGGCGCGAAAGCGUGGGGAGCGAACUGG